rnacentral:rRNA from 1 species
GACGUAGGGGGCGAGCGUUGUCCGGAAUUAUUGGGCGUAAAGAGCUCGUAGGUGGUUUGUUACGUCUGCUGUGAAAACCUAGGGCUUAACCCUGGGCUUGCAGUGGAUACGGGCAGACUAGAGGUAGGUAGGGGAGAAUGGAAUUCCUGGUGUAGCGGUGAAAUGCGCAGAUAUCAGGAGGAACACCGGUGGCGAAGGCGGCUCACUGGGCCGGUCCUGACGCUCAGGCGCGAAAGCGUGGGGAGCGAUCCGG